ACUAUUUUGGCAGAAAAAAUGUAAUGAUUUUAGAAGUCAUAAAUAUAUAUUUAUAGGUAUAUAUGUAGUA
rnacentral:tRNA from 1 species